rnacentral:rRNA from 1 species
UCUGCAACUCGACUGCGUGAAGUCGGAAUCGCUAGUAAUCGUGAAUCAGAAUGUCACGGUGAAUACGUUCCCGGGCCUUGUACACACCGCCCGUCACACCAUGGGAGUGGGUUGCUCCAGAAGUAGCGUAGUCUAACCGCAAGGGGGACGGUUACCACGGAGUGAUUCAUGACUGGGGUGAAGUCGUAACAAGGUAGCCGUAGGGGAACCUGCGGCUGGAUCACCUCCUUAAU